rnacentral:lncRNA from 1 species
GAGCGAGCGGCGGGUGUCCCUGAGAGGCCACCUUUCGACCUUCGAGGGCCAGGAGGAUACGGGGAGGUGGCCGGAGGGAGUUCCCGAACACAGGUCUUCCUGUUCCCGCCGAGCAGGUGUUGGCGGUGCCAGGCCCGGCCUGGCGGGCCCGGGCUGGCAGCCAAAUACCCAGCGUCUGUGCUCGGGACGGGAGUGUUCGUCCAGGACGUGCAGCUCCGGAGCCUGCGCGGGCGACCUUGACCACCUUUGUCGGCUGUUUCCCCCUGAGGGAAGUAUACCUGUCCUGCCAGCCUUGGUCUCUGGCAGGGAAGGUCCUUCCAACAGAGAGGGGUGCGCACGAAUUCCUUUUUGCCGCUCUUCUAUUAAUAGUUUGAGAUUUUCCUCCCCGAUUCCUUGCAGAGAGGGCCUGGUCCUCAAGGACCUCGGGAUCUGGGCGCGACGUCCCUUCCCAGCUUCCUCCCGCGCGCACCGGACCAGAUCUUGCUGUCGUCAGCUGGCUGGUACCCAAAGUUCCUCUUCGUCAGGCUGUUCCUUCCCCGUUAGAGUCCUUCCUCCCCAGGAGCCCUCUCCAUCUGCUGACCUUCAAGACCCAGAGCGAAUGCCACUUCAUCCAUGAAGCCUUCCCUUAACCCUUAUCUGGCCAAAAUGUCUCUUUCCUGUGCUUCUGUACUUUCACAAUUUUAGAAAAUGCCUUUGUGGUUAAAAACCUAUCUCCGGGACCGGACUAUCUAGGUUUAGAUUCUGGCUGCCGCUUACGAAUUUGGGCAGGUUUAGUCAAGUUAUUUUAACCUCUCUGUGGAAGUUCCUGCUCUGUGGAAAUAAUAGUAUUUUCCUCAGAGUUGGUGUGGGGAGUUUGUGAGUUAAUACAUUUACGAAGUGGUUAGUUGCAUGUAAGAAGGACUCUCUAAAUGUCAGCUAUUAUUAACAUUGCAUAUCUGCCACACCCUUCAUAGAUGGUAAACUGCUUUUUUUUUUUUUUUUACUUUUAUUUUAGGUUCGGGAUACAUGCACAGGUUUGUUUUAUAGAUAAAUUGCUUGUCAUGUGGGUUUGUUGUACAAAUUAUUUUGUCACCCAGAUAGUAAGCAUAGUACUUGACAGGUAUUUUUUCUGAUCCUCUCCCUCCUCCCACCCUCUAGCCUCAAGUAGGUCCCAGUGUCUGUUGUUCUCUUCUUUGUGUCCAUGUGUUCUCAAUGUUUAGCUCCCACUUACAAGUCAGAACAUGCAGUAUUUGGUUUUCUCUUCCGCAUUAGUUCACUUAGGAUAAAGGCCUCCAGCUCCAUCCAUGUUGCUACAAAGGACAUGAUCUCUUUCUUUUUUAUGGCUGCAUAGUAGUCCAUGGUGUAUAUGUACCGUAUUUUCUUCAGUCUACUGGUGAUGGGCAUUUAGGUUGAUGCCAUGUCUUUACGAUUGUGAAUAGUGCUGCAGUGAACAUACAUGUACAUAUAUCUUUAUGGUAGAAUGAUUUAUAUUCUUUUGGGUAUAGACCCAAUACUGGGAUUGUUGGGUCGAAUGGUAAUUCUGUUUUAAGUUCUUUGAGAAAUCGCCACACUGCUUUCCGCGGUUACUGAACUAAUUUACAUUCCCACCAGCAUUGUAUAAGCAUUCCCUUUUCUCCACAACCUCACCAGAAACCAGCAUCUGUUAUUUCUUGACUUUUAUUAAUAGCCAUUCUGACUGGUGUGAGAUGAUAUCUCAUUGUAGUUUUGAUUUGGGUUUCUCUAGUGAUUAGUGAUGUUGAGUAUUUUAUAUGCUUGUUGGCCAUGUAGCUUCUUUUGGCUAGGGACCUGUGAGUCUCCCUAGGUUUCUUGCACUUACUAAGCCUUCAACAAAUGGUAGAAGAGUCAAUUCUCUUGGUGUUUCAGAAGAAAACAAUAUCACAGCCCCUCUCCACUGGAUAAUACUAUAAAUCUUAAAAUGAAUUUUCAUUCAGAGUAAUAAACACAAGCCAAAGAACUUUGUAUAACAUCCGUCAACUUUUUGUGUUAUCUAUUUCUUUUCCAAAACAUUGCCUCUGGUUUUAAAGGUAACUGCCCACAGUGUUUCACUAAUAACAUUUUAAGCAUUACAAGUUCAACACUGAAGGUCAAAUGACAACGAACUUUCAGUGCUUCCAAAAGCAGGGGCAGAGGGCAACUGCUGAGGGGGGCAUUGUAUAGCCUAACCUUCCCAGAAUUUGAUUUAAAAGUAUGAUCUUCACAGCGUUGGCCAGCAAUAUCAUGGUCACUCCCUACGUCAUUCCCUGGGAGAAAAACAACCCUAGGUUACCUAAACAAUGUUGGCGAAGACCAAAUAUUUAUUAACAUCCUAAGCCGCCCCAUAAUCAAGCCAAUGCUGAUAGGGACAAAGAAGGUGCCAUGUGCAGUUUUUCUCCAUGUCCCCACAAUAUCUGCUCUGAAUUUUAAAAGGCAAUUACUGGGGGAGAAGGAAGCCUAUAUAUUAUGUAGGAUCCAAGUCUCAAACUGCUUUCCUAGGGAGUGUGAGGUUCUUGGAGAUUAAGUGCAGUACCUUUCUGUCUUGAGCCUUGUAGGCUGCCCCUCUAAUUUAAUGCCAGUCUUGAAAUAAACAGAAUGCUUUCCAAGUCAUCGCUAAUUUUAACACUUUAAAUUUAGAAUUGCUUAGAAUUGACUCAACACUGCCUCCUUGCUGAAUGGAUAAUUCAAGCAAACAACUCAAGAGCUGGAUGCUGCCCAGACAGGUAGGCAGCCAGAUAAAGUGAGUGUCCAGGGAAAGAGCAGUAAGGGUCAGAAGAGAAAGAGCCUGGUGUUCUCACUGCCUCCUGCCUUCCUUAUGACUGUCUGUUCAGAAGUCCUCCUAGCAUCUUUCUUCUGCCUUCCCCUGCUCCUGUCCCUGAAACCUUUUCUUCAAAAGAAGUGGAAAAGAGGAACUGGGAACCCAUAUAGCAACAGCAUCACCUGGAAUGAAUUCCUUUAGAACAUACUGUCUUGGAAAUCUGAAGCCUGCAGGGCUGGACAGGCAAGAAGAGCAGUGAGCACUGCAUGAACCUGCAUGUACUCCGAAAUAUUUUUCAAAUGGAAAAGAAAACAGAGAACACAAUUUUCAAAAUAUCUAGAGCCCUCCAAGAAGUCUUUGUAGAGAUCUAUAAAAUCUCAAGGCAAUUUAAAGGUAAUAAGACAACUUUAUUAAUAAUUAAUUAAAAUGUAAAUGUUAAUGAUAGCCCUUUGUAUAGCUAUAUUAUCUUUUUCUGAAGAAUAGAAAAAUGUUUUAGAAACACUAUUCUCUCCACAUCCUGGGGCAGCAGCCUUCUCCAAAGAAACAGAAAGAAGGAAAUGGAUUGCCUUAGCAAAAAAACAAAUGAAGACACUCCAAAUAACAGAAGAAUGGGAAGGCUACAGACCUUGAAGUCAGAAGAAAAUUUCCUCUCCUUGCCCCGUUUCUCCUUAAAUGGAUCACCAGUACAGUCUCUUACUUCUAGAGCCAUGUUAAGCUUUCUUCCCCAAAGUUGUAAUGUCCUUCUUUUGGUUGUGUCGUGUCCUAAAAUCCUACUCUUUGGUACAAGAUGAAGGUAUAUGAAGAGAUAAUGAAGGAAACAAAUUCAAUGUGUUUGCCAAGAACACAGUCUUUUAAAUAACUCUUAAAGGGUUCGUUUAAAACAGUGUAAUAAAUUGUGGUAAUCUAGUACACAAAGCUAGUAGGAACCUCGUUUAUUAAUAAUAUUUCAACAUUGAGCAGUAGAGGGCAGCACUAUCCUUCUUUUGCAAAAUGUUGAGCACUCUUGAGAAGGAAAAUAAAGGCAAAGCUCCUGACCCCUGUGUCUGUGUUUACUUUUACCAUUAAAAAAAAACAAAAAAUUGGAGUAUUUUUAUUAUGGUUUAGGUGAUUAUGUAUAAAGAAUGUCAGAGCCUGCAUUACCUGGAAGUGGUGCACCAGGUAAUGCAAAAAACACGGAAGGUUUGAGGUCCCCCACUCAGGAUAUGGGUUCUGUCUAGUAAAGAUAAACAGUAGCUUGACCCUGGGUAAUCAGAUAGGGUUAUUGUAUGAACAGACCUAAUGCUCCUGCACGUUCUGGAUAGAAGUCAAUCUACUGAAAUAGCAGGAUGUAGUUUUAAAAAAUGUGUGUAACUCAUAUAGUCUUAGCCCUGAUAAGUGCUUCUAAAUUCUUAUUCACUGCCUUUAUUCUGCUGUGUUAGUGUUGCUCUCUGUCAUACGUGGGUCAGGUCAGAACUAGCUCAAAUACAGUAUGUGUAUUAUGACUUUAAGGAGUGGUGUCAGACAAGAUGGGUAAAGAAUGUCUUUCAUGGGACUGCAGUUGGCUAAAUGGCUGUGUAUAAGUAGUGAAAUUGAAGCCUUGUAUGCUCGUCGUCAUUCUAUCACAGUAUGAUUUGAGUUUCCCUAACCGGUAAACAGCAAGAAAAAAUGAUCUGUUAUUUUUUACUAAAGUUACUUGAUGCUCUUUAGCAAGCUGACAGAAUAAUUCUAAUUUUAGCAAAUACAAAACCAUGGUAAUCCUAGCACAUUUGGAUUCUGUUUAACCCUGAAAACUCUUUUGGCAGCAAAUCUUCAAUGCCAAUUUAGAUAAAUCCCACUAGGAAUAAGCACUGAAAGACGUUGAGUCUAGUUCCCAGCUCUGCCAUGUGAAGUUGGGCAAAUUACAGUCUCUGAGCUUUUAUUUCAUCUGUUAAAUGGAGAUAAUACCUCCUAGAUUUAUUAAAAGGGUCAAUUUAGAAAAUAUGUAUUAAAAUGGUUUGAAAGCCAUUUAAGUACCUAAUGAAUAUUUCUAUCACUGUAGCCCAAAAAGAUUCCUGCCUAGAAGACUUUAUGUCUCUUCUCCUCAUUUGGUAUCAUUCUAUUGCCUGAGAUUGUUAAUUAACUUUUAUGUAUACUCAAUAUUUUCUCCCAACUUGGUUGCUAGUUCCUUGAGAACUGAAACCAUCAAUUGCACUUCUUGGUAUCCUCCACAAUAAGGUAUCUAGGUACUCAAAUAUUUGUUGGUUGAUUAAAAACAUAAACCACAAGACAUAAUUAACUCUUUUUAAAAUUGUGGUAAAAAAACAUGUAUUUACCAUCUUAAUCAUUUUUAAGUAUACUGUAUAUUAGUGUUUACUAUAUGCACAUUGUUGUGCAACACAUCUCUAGGACUUUUUCAUCCAGAAUUCUUUUUUUUUGAGACAGAGUCUUGCUGUGUCGCCCAAGCUGGAGUUCAGUGGCACCAUCCUGGCUCACUGCAACUGCUGCCUCCCAGGUUCAAGUGAUUCUCCUGCCUCAGCCUCCCGAGUAGCUGGGAUUACAUGUGCCUGCCACCACGCCUGGCAAGUUUUUGUAUUUUUAGUAGAAAUGGUGUUUUACCAUGUUGGCCAAGACUGGCCUAGAACUCCAGACCUCAAGUGAUCCACCCGCCUCAGCAGCCCAAAGUGGUGGGAUUACAGGCAUGAGCAACUGUGCCUGGCCUAGCCAUUUUCUAUAAACCUGAAAAUAGAUGCCAGAAAAGAAGGUGCCGCUAUAAAAUGCUUUCUUGAGUGAUUUAUGUCUAACAUACAAUUAAACAUUUAUGAGAAGGAAAUUAUCAGGUUAAAAUAUAAACUCACUUGCCAAUUAUUUGAUUUUCAGGAUAUCUGACUUUUGUUAAUUACUGAAAAUAAAGUAUUAUUUCUAAUCACUAUUGGUAUCACAAUAGCAUUUUUAUUUGGCCGGUAUGUGUGAGGCCUGGAGUAUGACGGGAAACUGUCCUAGAAAAGGCCCUUGCAUUGGCUGUAGAGAGUUCUGGAACUCUCAAGAUGGCAAGAUUGUAUUUAACUCUUUUAAAAACAAUGCACCUUUUCAAGCACAGAUUUUCAUCUGAUGUUGUGACCGUCAAUUAUGUCAGAUUUGUUUGAUAUAUUAAAAAAUUGGUUUCUCCUUUGCACAAAAUAAAUUAUAGAUGGAUAUAAGAUUUAAAUAUUUUAAACAAUAUAGGGAAAAUAAUAUAUUUGAAACAUAGUAUUAGG